rnacentral:rRNA from 1 species
CAAUACUUAGUGGCAGACGGGUGAGUAACAUGUAGGUAUCUGCCCUUUGGCCUGGAAUAACACGAGGAAACUUGUGCUAAUACCGGAUAAGUCUUUACGGAGAAAGCUUUAUGCACCAUUGGAUGAGCCUGCACUUGAUUAGUUUGUUGGUGGGGUAAUGGUCUACCAAGACUGUGAUCAAUAGCUGAUUUGAGAGGAUGAUCAGCCACAUUGGGACUGAGACACGGCCCAAACUCCUACGGGAGGCAGCAGUGGGGAAUCUUGCACAAUGGAGGAAACUCUGAUGCAGCGAUGCCGCGUGAGUGAAGAAGGCCCUUGGGUUGUAAAGCUCUUUCGUCGGGGAAGAAAAUGACUGUACCCGAAUAAGAAGGUCCGGCUAACUUCGUGCCAGCAGCCGCGGUAAUACGAAGGGACCUAGCGUAGUUCGGAAUUACUGGGCUUAAAGAGUUCGUAGGUGGUUGAAAAAGUUAGUGGUGAAAUCCCAGAGCUUAACUCUGGAACUGCCAUUAAAACUUUUCAGCUAGAGUAUGAUAGAGGAAAGCAGAAUUUCUAGUGUAGAGGUGGAAUUCGUAGAUAUUAGAAAGAAUACCAAUUGCGAAGGCAGCUUUCUGGAUCAUUACUGACACUGAGGAACGAAAGCAUGGGUAGCGAAGAGGAUUAGAUACCCUCGUAGUCCAUGCCGUAAACGAUGUGUGUUAGACGUUGGAAAUUUAUUCUCAGUGUCGCAGGGAAACCGAUAAACACACCGCCUGGGGAGUACGAC